AGUGGGUUCUUCAUGAUUGGAAUGAUGAACAAUCCUUAAAGAUAUUGAAGAACAGCAAAGAAGCUAUUUCACACAAAGGGAAAGAUGGAAAAGUGAUUAUCAUCGACAUAUCAAUUGAUGAAACAAGUGAUGAUCAUGGAUUAACUGAAUUGCAAUUGGACUAUGACUUGGUGAUGCUUACAAUGUUUCUUGGUAAAGAAAGAACAAAGAAAGAAUGGGAUAAACUCAUACGUGAUGCAGGUUUCAGCAGCUACAAGAUAUCUCCUAUAUCUGGUUUCAAGUCUCUCAUUGAAGUUUAUCCUUAAUUUUAAUUUUAUGUUGCUACAAUUUAGUUUUAACUACAAAUUCAAUAAGUAUCUGUUUGGAGAGUACUCAGAUUAGUAAUGUUUAUUGUUUCGUCUUAAAAAUUAAUUUCCCAAACUUGUUCUUCGCAUACAUGGAAAUCAUUGUCCCCUACCCAAAAUGUAGUGUUUGGUAUAUCAAAAUGCAUUCGGAAACUGAACAAUAAAAUUACCUAAUAACAAUAAAUGAGUAAAACUUGUAAAAACCACCGAGACUUAGCCAAAAGUCAAGCCAAAAAUACUCAUAAUCAAAUAACGUAUAUAUGUCAGUACACCAAUAAAAAUAUUAGAGUUAGCUAGAGAAGGGCUACACUUACUAGAGCAUGAGCUACCUCUCGCUGGCUUUUCCCAUUUAAUUACCAAAGGACUAGACACACUGCUACUUAGACCUGCAUUAUCACCUCGGCCUGCUAUCACAGAUGCAGAUAUUUGCUGUCGCGGAAUGCUAUUGUUGGCCUGAACCCAACCCUCAAUCAGUUGCAAUGCUCGAUCCAAAAUUUGUGCACACGUUUGUUACAGUUUGCCAUAGCUUGAGGUUUCUAUGCUUCCAAAAACUUCACAUAAUAUUAAUAGCAGCCAUACGAGCUGAUUCAUGUGCAUUNNNNNNNNNNNNNNNNNNNNNNNNNNNNNNNNNNNNNNNNNNNNNNNNNNNNNNNNNCGGAUAGAUAGGAUUCUCUUGAGAAGAGUUUAUAAAGAGGAGGCAAUCCUCACCUUACAAGCCGGUUUUGUAAGGAUGAGUUAGGCCUCAACAUUCGUGACAAUAAGAUGUGUACAGUAUCUUCAUAGUUAUCGUUGCACACAACACAAUUCGGUGGACAUUGAACCCUUUGUCUCGUAGGUGAGCACAAGUUGGAAAGAAACCACGACAUAUCCACCACACUAGAUUCUUAACCUUUGGAGGAACUUUCAGCCACCAUAUAUAUAUACCAGACCAAUAACCAGCAGGCCGCUUGAGAUGAGAAAUAUCAAUUAGCUCAUCAACACAUAAAGCACUAACCAUGCAUGUCACGAUUCCAUUCUUUUGUUGAAUGAUCAAUGAAGUGUUCUACUUUAACAUUUUGAAGGUAUACUAAAUUAUGAUUAGCUAUAAAAAUGCAUGCUCCAUCAUUUUUUUUUUGAAUAAGCUAAAUUAGCCCACCCAAAUUGCAUGCUCCAUCAUUAAGCCAAGGUUCCUCUAAAAUAGGAAUACUAGCCCCUGGUCCAAUGCAUCUGUGAGAACCGGCAUGAACAAGAAAUUUAACAUUUGAUAUACUUCUCCACACAAAGCUUGAGUUAUGACCAUCUGACAACGAAAAACAAUUCCUAUGGGGAAAGUACCGUGCCUUGAAUAAAUGAGAGACAAGACUAUUUGGAUUAGAUUGGAGUUUCCAUCCUUGUUUUCCAUGCAUCGCAAGGUUGAAAGUUGUAAGGUCCUUAAGGCCCAUACCUCCACUGUUUUUAUGCACCGAGAGUUUUUCCCAAGACAGUCAGUGAAAGCCUAUAUUAUUGGAACCACCAUGAACCUACCAAAAUGCAUUCAUCAUCUUUUCAAUUGCAUCUAUCAGCAAGCUAGGAAUAAUAAAUAUGCUCAUAACAUAAGAUGGAAUAACUUGCAGAACUGAUUUAAUCAACACUUCUCGCCCUGCUUUAGAUAGACACUCGCUGCUCCACGAAUUGAUCUUGCGCCGAAAUCUAUCUUUAAUGAAAUUGAACGUGACCUUCUUGCUUCUACUGUCCAUUGAAGGUAAUCCAAAAUAUUUUCCGGUACCUAGCUAACACAGCUUGCACACUCAAUAUGUUGGUAAUAGAGUUAUUGAUCGCCUGCUACAAAAAAAAAUUCUGACUUUGGGAGGUUAAUAGCUUGUGCUAAAGUUGCUUCAUAAGUCUCUUAGUCUCCUAUAUAUUUUUCAUAGUUUAAGCUUCAUGCUCCUCAUCCCUGUAAAACAAAAAAGCAAUCAUCUACAAAUAAAAGGUGAGUGAUUUUUUUUGAACAAGCAAAAAAGGUGAGUGAUUAUUGGUGCAUUUCUACUAAUCUUGGUGCCAUGGAUAUUUCCCUGACCCUCCGCUUCUCUAAUGAGAGCUAAGAGCCCUUCAGCACAAAUAAUAAAGAGAUACGGUGAUAAAGGAUCUCCUUGCUGUAACCCACAACAUGGAAUAAAUGGACCAACCAUGUCAUCAUUGAUAAUCACAGAGUAAUCCACCGAUUCAACACACAUCAUAACCCAUCGAACCCAUUGUUGAGAGAAACUCAUCUUAACCAUCACCUCCUUAAGGUAAUCCCUGUCAAUUAGGUCGUAAGCUUUGCUAAUAUCAAGUUUGAGCGCAACAUUGUCCAGUUUACCUCUGGUUUUAGAUUUCAUGAAGUGAACUAUUUCAAAAGCCAUGAUUGCAUUAUUAUCAAGAAUUGAUCUCCCGUGGACAAAUGCAGAUUGGUUAUCCGAAAUGCAUUUAUCAAGAACUCUCUUCAGCCUAUUAGAGAGCACUUUGGAGGCUAAUUUAUAAAUAACAUUGCAAAGGGAAAUCAGUCUCCAAUCCUUCAUAGUCUUUUGUUCUUCACCUUUAGGAAUGAGGGCAAUAUUCGUCAUAUUGAGGGUAGCAUGGAAUUGACAUGUAUUGAGCCAAGAACAACACUCCUGAAAGAUAUCAUGACUACAUAAUUUCCAUCAGGUCCGAGACACUUUUUUGGUUUCAUAGAGAACAAAGCAUCUUUGAACUCUUCCAGAUUAAAAGGGGCUGUGAGAUACUCAUUAUCAGAAUCAAGAAUAGUAGUAGAAAUCGCUAAUUACAGGGUAACGAAAACUAUUCUCUUUUGAAACAAAUCAUUAAAAUAAUCUUUUGUCAAGUCACUCAUACCAGGGCUGUCAAUAACUCUUCUACCACUCACAUCUUCCAAAUACUAAAUACUAAAUACGAUUUACCUUCUUCCUAGACGUGUUGAUGCAUGAAAAAAAUCGAGUGUUGAGAUCCCCUUCCCCAUACCAAUGUGUCUUAGCACGUUGACGCCAGAACAUAUCAUCUUGAACCAAUAAGUACGUCAUCUGCUUUUGCAAAGCACUAACAUAGUUAGCAUUACUCUCGCCAACUUGAUCAUGAACUUAUAAUAAUUUUUUCAUGCAUUCUUCAAUCUUUUUUCUAAGGUUAUGACAAUGAGUUCUACUCCAUUGAGAUAGAUCAUCCGCACAAGCUUCAAUUCUCAGCAAAAUAAACAUAUCCGAAUAAUUAUUCCAGCACCGGUGUACAAUAUCAUCAAACUCAAACUCAAGACACCAAGCAUUUUCGAACUUAAACUUGCGAUAAGACGUACCAAAUCUCACAACAGGAUCACAAUCAAGAAGAAUAAGGCAGUGAUUUGAAGCAGGCCGCGCAACUAGUUUCUCCACCUUAGCAUUAGGAAACAUUUGAAACCUAGCUUCAUUAGCUAAAGCCAAGUCUAACCUUUCUUCAAUAGCACGGAGGAGGGUACCUAAACUCUUAAACCAAGUGAAAAGGGAUACCCUUCCAUAUGAACAUCUGAUAAUCCCUAUGAAGCACGGACACCGACACGACACCGACGCUCAUGAUUACAUUGAAUUAUGUCUUCNNNNNNNNNNNNNNNNNNNCCCUUGCGGUUUGAAACAUUUUUGCUAAAAAACUUCGGUUCGUAUUUACCGAAGCUAAAUAUUAGACCAUUUCGGUAACUGCAAACCGAACAUUAGCGUUUUCGGUACACAAAAAACGAACGUCAGCUUGUUCGGUAUCUGCGAAGCGAAAUGUCCUAGAUUUCGGUACGUUGGUCGCUGGAAUUAGGUCAUUUUCGAUAGAAGUUUACCGAAAUAAUUGUUUCGGUACCUGCGAACCGAAAUGUACCAGAUUUCGGUAAGUGGUUACUGAAAUUUAUCAGAAUGUCAGCUUAUUUCGGUUCGUAUNNNNNNNNNNNNNAACGGAAAUUCAGGGGGUAGAAAAGAAUUGAGGGGGGUUGGGAGAGAAAGUAUCUCUCCAAACACAUGGACAUGGACUCAUGCACAGAACACACUUGCACACACAUUUUUUACUUUUCUUUUUAGGAGGAAUCCAUCCAACGUUCACAUGACUUAUUACCACUAUUAAAUUUUUCACGCUUAUUAAAUUUUUUGCUUCGACUUGUCCUAUGAACUCUGUUUGCAGGAUUUUGCAUUAUACAUGAAGGGUGUCGGGGUUGGAUAUCGGUCAUGCCACUUAUCAAUAACUAAAAACUAUGACUCAUUAGAAGUAUCGAUCAAACCACAUUCUUUUUCUUUUAACCUUUUGUUGGGGAGUUUGGGGCCAUUCGGAAAAAACGAAUCAAUGUUUUAGGACAAUAAAAGAGUAAGAUGUCACCAAUAAUUAUUGGGUUUCAAUUGUGAGUGGUUAAGUCGGAAAUCGACUAUGAAUGAGAUAAAUGUUACACCAGAAUAACCACAAUUAAAAUUUGUUUAAAUCUAUAUUCUCUCCGAUUUUUUUAUAAGAAACAGCUCACUUUUUAAAUUCAUUAAUAACUGAUGUAUUUUGUCAAUAUUUGUUUGGUUGUGAUUAAAUUUCUAAUUGAACCAAAACCAAAAUAUUUGUUUGGUUGUGAUUAAAUUUCUAAUUUAACCAAAACCAAACAAUUAUUAAAUUAGCGGGACCCAAUUAGGAAUGAUACUCUUAAAAUUGAGUUUCGGAUUUAACUCAUCCUUACAAAAUCGGCACCCCUUCACGCCCAGCACUAUUGGGCUAGGUGCAUGGAUAUAAAUGAUGGGAAAUUUUUUUUUCUAUCCCAACAAUUGUCAAUCUACCCCAAUAUUAAUUUUGAAUGGACGAAUUUGCCCUCCUAUAUAAACUAAAACCCUGAAGAAAAAAAUUUGGUUACCGGAACACUUUGGAAAAAAGUGUUCUGAUAUGUAAAUUUUUUUUUGUUACCGGAACACUUUGGAAAAAAGUGUUCAGGUAUAUAAAAUUUUUCUAAUUUUUUUUUUACCUGAACACUUUGAAAAAAAGUGUGUAGGUAUGUAAAAUUUUUCCAAAUUUAUUUUCUUACCUACACACUUUGGAAAAAAGUGUUCAGGUAUGUAAAAUUUUUCUAAUUUUUUUUUUGUUACCUAAACACUUUGAAAAAAAGUGUGUAGGUAUAUAAAAUUUUUUCAAAUUUAUUUUGUUACCUACACACUUUGGAAAAAAAUGUUCAGGNNNNNNNNNNNNNNNNNNNNNNNNNNNNNNNNNNNNNNNNNNNNNNNNNNNNNNNNNNNNNNNNNNNNNNNNNNNNNNNNNNNNNNNNNNNNNNNNNNNNNNNNNNNNNNNNNNNNNNNNNNNNNNNNNNNNNNUAAAUUUGGAAAAAUUUUACAUACCUACACACUUUUUUUCAAAGUGUUCAGGUAAAAAAAAAAUUAGAAAAAUUUUAUAUACCGGAACACUUUUUUCCAAAGUGUUCCGGUAACCAAAUUUUUUUCUUCAGGAUUUUAGUUUAUAUAUGAGGGUAAAUUCGUCCAUUCAAAAUUAAUGUUGGGGUAGAUUGACAAUUGUUGGGGUAGAAAAAAAAAAUUCAAAUGAUGGAUGUUCCGAUAACAAAAACCUGAUAACAUGUGGCCCAACGGAUCGUGGAGAGCUCUGAUGCCAUCUUAAAAUUGAGUUUCAAAAAUAACUCAUCCUUAAAAAACCGAUGUGAGACUUCUUAACCUAUACUCUCAAUUUCUUUUAAAAAGUGGCGACUAGAAAUUUUAGUCAAGUUUUACAAAGAAUAAUAUAUUUUAACUAUAACUAUAAUAAUAAUCGACUAGAAAGAUGAAGAAUUGCAGUGACAAGUUACAUACCUCAUGAUAACGUAUACCUCACGAGAAGGACCCAGAUCAUGUGAAGUACAUGACUGCAUGCAGUCGUGUAGUAACGCGUUUUAGAUCGUCUGAUUUUGAUUAAACGGUCCAUGAUAAAGACAUAUUUUACUUUUAAACUAUUUGAUCUUAGACGGUAAAAAAACGUGUGAUUGCAUGAUAUGGAUCCCUUACAAAAAAUAAUUUGAUGUAUUUUGUUCAAAAUUUGGACUAAAUGCAUCCGCUUUUGUUGACCAAUUUUUUAUUAUAUUUUGGGACGGGGAAAUACUUAUAUUUAAGGGUAUUCAUGGUUAUAGAUAAUCUGUUUAAUCUGAUGACCCAACCCAAACUAACUUGCAUUUUUCCUGAUCCAUUCAUCUUUAAACAGAUUGGGUAGCAAUUUGGCUAAAAUCGACCCAACCCGACCCACCUAUACCCCUUACAUUGAGACAAUACAUGAUUUAAAACAAAAAAACAAAAUUGAAGCAACUAGAGAGGCAAUUAUGGGCAAAUAUGAACAAAAGUGAGACUUCUUGAGUCAUGGCCUACCGAACUCCACCUACUCCGUUCAAAAAAGAACACAAAAUUAACUCAUUACAACUCUAUCUCAUCCUAAUACAUGGCCGCCUCAGCAUGAAUUCAAGAUCGCAGCCAAACAAGACACAAGACAAUGCAUUGUUUUUUCACUGUUUCAUGUUAGACCAUUAUAUUUUGUUCAACAUUUGAAACAUAUAAAAAAGGUUCAUACUAGUUUAUUUUUACAUAUCCAUUUCCACCAAAACAUAAUAAUACAUCAACAAAGUACAUAAACAAGAGAAUACAAAUGGAUUUUAGUGCAAAUGGUUCUGAAGAAACUGAACUGUAUCAUGCUCAAAUCCAUUUGUAUAAACAUGUAUACAACUUUGUAAGUGCCAUGGCUCUCAAAUCUGCUGCGGAACUUGGCAUAGCUGAUGCAAUCCAUAACCAUGGAAAACCAAUGACUCUUACUGAAUUAGCUUCAUCUUUGAAACUCCACCCUUCUAAAGUUAACAUCCUAUAUCGAUUUUUGAGCCUGUUAACACACAACGGUUUCUUCGUUAAAAGCAAAGGGGAAGAAGAAGAAAUAGCUUAUGCUCUCACACCAUCUUCAAAGCUUCUCAUAAGUGGGAAAUCAACAUGUUUAUCAGCACUUGUUACAGGAGCACUUCAUCCAAAUUCUAUAGACAUGUGGAGCUCUACAGAGAAAUGGUUCAAUGAGGAUAAGGAACAAACUUUGUUUGAGUGUGCAAAAGGGGAGAACUAUUGGGAUUUUCUUAACAAAGAUUCUGAUAGAUUGAGUAUGUUUCAAGAUGCUAUGACUGCUGAUUCGAGAAUGUUCAAGCUUGCUCUUAAAAAGAACAAACAUGUGUUUGAGGGUUUGGAGUCUCUUGUUGAUGUUGCCGGUGGAACUGGUACAGUCACAAAACUCAUCCAUGAAGCUUUUCCUAACAUCAAAUGCACUGUUUUUGAUCAACCACAGGUUGUUGGUAACUUAACCGGAAAUGAAAAUUUGAACUUUGUUGGUGGUGAUAUGUUCAAAUCUAUCCCUCCUGCAGAUGCUGUUUUACUCAAGGUAUGUCUAUAAAAUCAAUUCUUACUAAUUGAAUUCAUUUUAUUUUGUUCAUGGUUUUGACCAUGACACGGACAUAAUAUUGACAUAUCUGAUUACAUUCAAUCGCGUCUAUCAGUAGCAUGUGUCAUGUGCCCGACAUUCUAAUGUCUGACAUGAAUAUAACAGUGACACGCGUGAUUGCAUACAUUCAAUCACCUAUAUUUUCAAUAAUUAUUAUUAGUAUCAACAUGUUGGUAUCAGUGUUGUAUCGUGUCAGUGACAAUAUUUCGUAGCUGAGGAAUAAAGCUAAAUAGAUAGUAACUAGUAACAAACUAAGGUGAAAAUUUUGUAUCAACAAAAAAACUAAAUUAAUUCUAUAUUGUUUUCAUUACAGUGGGUUUUGCAUGAUUGGAAUGAUGAACUAUCCUUAAAAAUAUUGAAGAACAGCAAAGAAGCUAUUUCACACAAAGGAAAAGACGGAAAAGUGAUUAUUAUCGACAUAUCGAUUGAUGAAACAAGUGAUGAUCAUAGAUUAACUGAGUUGCAAUUGGAAUAUGAUUUGGUGAUGCUUACAAUGUUUCUUGGUAAAGAAAGAACAAAGACAGAAUGGGACAAACUCAUACAUGAUGCAGGUUUCAGUAGCUACAAGAUUAUCCCUAUAAGUGGCUUCAAGUCUCUAAUUGAAGUUUAUCCUUAAUUUUAAUUUGAAGUUACUGCAAUCAAGUUUUAACUAUGAAUUCAAUAAGUGUCUAUUUGGAGAAUCAGAUUAAUAGUGUUUAUCAUUUCCUGUAAGAAAUUAAUUUCCAAAACUUGUUAUUUGGAUAUAGAUCAUUUCAUACCGGAAUGUGUUAUUUUUCUCUUCCUUAGGAAAGAAAAAUAAGGUCAUGUCUGUUUUUGAGAAUCAGAAAGUUUAAUGUACUGAAACCAAAAUUGCUCGAGAUUAUUAUAAAAUAAAAAAGCUUAUAGAGUGAUUCUCCCUCAA
rnacentral:lncRNA from 1 species